UGGCCAGACAAGUCCGUCGGGAAAUCCAUCUGCUCAACAGAUGGGCGUCCGGCGGAAACUCUCUGGCUUGGGACCGGAAGGCUCGAAGGGUACGUCUGGGGUAGGAGUGAAAUCCCGUAAUCCUGGACGGACCACCGAUGGCGAAAGCACUUCGAGAAGACGGAUCCGACAGUGAGGGACGAAAGCUAGGGUCUCGAACCGGAUUAGAUACCCGGGUAGUCCUAGCCGUAAACGAUGCUCGUUAGGUGUGGCGCAGGCUACGAGCCUGCGCUGUGCCGUAGGGAAGCCGAGAAACGAGCCGCCUGGGAA
rnacentral:rRNA from 1 species